UACGUAGGGUGCGAGCGUUAAUCGGAAUUACUGGGCGUAAAGCGUGCGCAGGCGGUUCGUUGUGUCGGUGGUGAAAUCCCCGGGCUUAACCUGGGAAUGGCCAUGGAAACUGGCGAACUGGAGUGCGGCAGAGGGGGGUGGAAUUCCGCGUGUAGCAGUGAAAUGCGUAGAGAUGCGGAGGAACACCGAUGGCGAAGGCAGCCCCCUGGGCUAGCACUGACGCUGAUGCGCGAAAGCUAGGGGAGCAAACAGG
rnacentral:rRNA from 1 species